UGACCUAAAAGAUAGAGGUCCCACCAUGGCCCAGGUCACAUCUAUAUUACCACCCAUAAUUUAAUUCCCUUCCCUUUUACUUGGCUCACCCAGCAGCAGUGGCAAAGAGCUUGCCACCCCCUAGGAGACUCUGAAGGCCAGUUCACUCAGGCCUUGGGCCAUCAAACAGCUACUCAGCUGUUCAAGCUGGCAGAUCUGAAGAGC